GUCUCGGAGGACAUUAAUGAUUUAUAAAACGGACGGGGUUGUAGCUGGUCUUCUUAGACAUUGUGCACACCUCGUUCAAAUUCAUCCAUACACCUCUUGUGCACCUUUCAUAUGGAUUGGCUCGUUAUUAUGGCUUCGGUCAGAGAGUCUCUCUAUGUGUAUCUAUCACAAACUUUUAAAUCAGUCUAUGAAUGUUUACUAUUGCUAUAAACGCAUUAUAAUACAACUUUCAACAACGGAUCUCUUGGCUCUCGCAUCGAUGAAGAACGCAGCGAAAUGCGAUAAGUAAUGUGAAUUGCAGAAUUCAGUGAAUCAUCGAAUCUUUGAACGCACCUUGCGCUCCUUGGUAUUCCGAGGAGCAUGCCUGUUUGAGUGUCAUGUAAUCCUCAAUCUCUAUAGGUUUUUAACGAUCUAUUGAGAUUGGACUUGGAGACUGUCGGUUUUAUAUUGAAUCGACUUCUCUUAAAUGUAUUAGUGUGGAUGUUUACUCAGACGUUCUCCAGUGUAAUAAUCAUUUGCGCUGUUGUGACUCUAGUAUAAUCUAUAUGUUCAUGCUUACAACCGUCUCUUUACUGAGACAAUAUAAACCUUUGCGUUUGACCUCAAAUCAGGUAGGACUACCCGCUGAACUUAAGCAUAUCAUAAAACCGGAGGGAACCCCA
rnacentral:rRNA from 1 species